UGACUUCAUCUUCACCUACCAAAAUAAUUCUCUUCAACUCUUUCUAGGUAAUCUGGCUUCCCAGAAACCUCCUGCUAAAUGCAAGGGUUUGCUGUCCUGUUUACUGACUGUUACACCUGAGGCUGGUUUUAAUACAGAUUCUGGACAUCAUAAGGCAAGCUCUC
rnacentral:lncRNA from 1 species